rnacentral:rRNA from 1 species
UACGUAGGGGGGCAAGCGUUGUCCGGAAUUAUUGGGCGUAAAGCGCGUGUAGGCGGUCCGGUAAGUCGGCUGUGAAAGUCCAGGGCUCAACCCUGGGAUGCCGGUCGAUACUGCCGGACUAGAGUUCGGAAGAGGCGAGUGGAAUUCCCGGUGUAGCGGUGAAAUGCGCAGAUAUCGGGGAGGAACACCAAUGGCGAAGGCAAGCUCGCUGGGACGUUACGUG